rnacentral:rRNA from 1 species
GGAAUUGUUCGCAAUGGGCGCAAGCCUGACGACGCAACGCCGCGUGGAGGAUGAAGGUCUUCGGAUUGUAAACUCCUGUUGACCGGGAAGAACGGACUCUGACUUAACACGUCAGGGAAUUGACGGUACCGGUUGAGGAAGCCAAGGCUAACUCUGUGCCAGCAGCCGCGGUAAUACAGAGGUGGCAAGCGUUGUUCGGAAUUACUGGGCGUAAAGGGCGCGUAGGCGGUCGCCUAAGUCGGACGUGAAAUCCCCAAGCUUAACUUGGGAACUGCGUCCGAUACUGGGUGACUUGAGUUCGGGAGAGGAAUGUGGAAUUCCAGGUGUAGCGGUGAAAUGCGUAGAUAUCUGGAGGAACACCGGUGGCGAAGGCGGCAUUCUGGACCGAAACUGACGCUGAGGCGCGAAAGCCAGGGGAGCAAAC